CUGAGGAAGCAGCAGGGCCCUGUCUGUGCUGGUGAGCCGUGAUGCAGGAAGGAGUCUUCCCUGAGUGACUCCUGCUGAGGGGGACCCUGGGAGGCCGUCUGGAGGUCUACUGGAUUUCAUGUUGUCCAUAAGUGUGUGCACAUACCAUAUACCAACAGUGAGAGGAAUCAUUUUCACAAAAGCAGAAAACCACAUCAUGCUGAAGAAGAACUUUAUGAUGACUCUGCAAUGAAGUUUAAAACACCUGGGUAAAACUGCAAUAGCAGUGGAGGAUCAUUAAAUCCUACAUAAAGAAACUGGAGGUUGCCCUCAGGAGUGUUGUUGCAGACUUCAUGUUUAACACCUUUGGGGCUAAGGAUUUCCAGGAGUCUCUCCACAUCUCAAUCUCUGUGCUUUGGACUGACUUCAUCAGUGACUUGGAUAAAGACAUGGAUGGCACAUCUAUGAAGUUUUCAGAAGACACCAAGCUGGGAGGGAGAGCUGACACAUUGGUUGAUGUUCGGGAUCCAAAAAGGUCUUAGCAGGCUUGAACUCUGGGCCAAAUCAAACAAACUCAAAUGUAAUGGUCAUGUGGGGAAAGUCUUCUGACAGUAAAAGCUCACCUCUGAUGUACUGGCUAUGUGAUCCCAGGCGAAUCAAUUGACCUUUCAGCACUCUAGGCAACCUAUUUAAAAUUAUACAUUGAAGAGAAGGUUCCAACCAUAUUAGCAAUAAGGAAUUUACUUUCCAGGGCAUUCCCUAUAGCAUAGUGUCUAUGCCAAUAAAAUAACUACCAUAGUCCUUAUCUAUACAAUAAAAUCUUACAUUUAGGUAAAAACAACAACCUCAAAAGCACACGAUGACAAAGGUUUGGCUAGAAAGGCAUUUGUCUGAAAAAGACUAUAAGCUUACUAUGAAUUAACAAUGUGAUAUGGCAAACAAGAAAACCAACGUGAUCUCAGGCUACAGGAGGGUUAGGAGGAUGAUAGUGCUCAUGCAGGUUGCCCUAGUCAGGCCACAACUAGAGUAUGCUUUACAGACCCCAUUGCUUAAUUGGAGAGCAUUCAGAGGAGGGCAAUCUAGAUGGCAUGAGGACUGGAGAAUAUCCUCUACAAAGAAUGGUUGAAGGAACUAGGGAUCUUCAAGUAUUGAAAAGACUAUUAUGUGGAUGAAGGAUUAGUUGUUCAAUCCAAUAUAAGAAAAAAACAUUCUAAUGAAUCAAAGUGUCCUAACUGGAAGUGAUUUUUCCUUCAUCAAUUAUUUUUUUUUCAGGGCAAUGAGGGUUAAGUGACUUGCCCAGGGUAACACAGCUAGUAAGUGUCAAGUGUCUGAGGCCAGAUUUGAACUCAGGUCCUCCUGAAUACAGGGCUGAUGCUCUAUCCACUGCACCGCCUAGCUGCCCCCCUUCAUCAAUUCUUAAUAGCAUGUUUUCUGCAUUUCUAAACCACGAGUUCUGUGGCACCAAGACUGUGUCUAUAUUUCUCCCAGAACCUAUCAUAAGGCUCUGCUCACAGUAGGCACUUAUUCCAUGUUUUGUAAUAUUGUUUUGUUGUGUUGUAGCCAUGCUGUGCACUGGGAGAGACUUGGGUUGAAAUAUUAACUCUUAAUCUUAUUUAGUCUUAACUAAUAAUAUUUAAGUAAUUAGUCAAUCCUACUAAUUAAUCAUAUUUAGUCUUAGCUUCAGUUUCCUCAUCUAUAAAGCAGAGGUUGUAAUAAUACUCAAAGUACUUACUUCAUGGCAUUAUUAUAUAGAUAAAAUGAGCAACUGUGUUAUCAAGGAUUUUGCAAACUUUAAGUCCCUAUAUAAAUGUGAGCUAAAUAAACAUCUGAUCUGUUAUUAUAAUUAUUCUCACUCUCAGCCUUGAUAUACAGUUAAUUUAUGCCCACCUUAUCCCCCUAUCAGAGUGUAAAUUUCCUGAAGACCAGGGACCAUAUUUCAUUUAUCUUCUUAUCUCCCCUUCCCCCCACCAAUACUGAACAGGAGCCCUUGAACAGGGUAGCCCUUUAAGGAUUGACUAGGAUAAAGAAUGCAAAGUGCUUUGUUAACCUUAAAGACACAUAGAAAUGUCAGCUGUUCAGCACCACUGUAAUAGUGAGUGGUCCUAGUCAAAUCAGAAGCUGCAUUGAAAUUGAUUUGUUGGCUGUGGACCAAGAUUGCUGCCUGUCAGAUGACCCAUUAUGAUUAAUAAUUGUUGACUUUUAUAUAGCUCUUACCAGGCACUGUGCUAAGAAGCACUUUACAAUUAUCUCAUAUGAUCCUCACAACAACCCUGGGAGAUAGGUGCUAUUAUCACCCUCAUUUUACAGAAGAGGAA